rnacentral:piRNA from 1 species
UGAUGCUGGCUACUGGUUUGCUCUGU